rnacentral:rRNA from 1 species
ACAUGCCUAUAGCAUAGCGUUAACGCACCAGAUCCCAUUAGAACUUCGCAGUUAAGCGCACUCAGGCUAGAGUAGUACUGGUAUGGGUGACCUCCCGGGAAGUCCUUGUGUUUUACAUGCC